rnacentral:lncRNA from 1 species
GGGGCCAGCUGGAGGAUGUCUCCAGGAGCAGGAGUUUCUCACUGCAUUGAAGACCCAUUAGUGGUCUUCGGCUGUUAUCUGCUCUUUGGUCGGGUUGUUGUUUCUUUGACACACUCCCCAUUGCAUUUCCAUUCUCAAUUUUAAAACAUGUGAAUAAAUGUAGUAGUUUUUUUACAUUAAGAAACUAAAAGGUUUUUUUUUUAAAUUAUUCGUCCUGUUUUAAACUUUUGUUUUUAAAAUUCCAAUAGGGAACAUACUUUAUAUAAUUGUUUUUAACUAUAAAAUAAGAGACUUAGUUAUCUAAAAUU